GGGAAUAUUGGACAAUGGGGGGAACCCUGAUCCAGCCAUGCCGCGUGUGUGAAGAAGGCCUUUUGGUUGUAAAGCACUUUAAGCGAGGAGGAGGCGCUCUAGGAUAAUACCCUAGAUGCGUGGACGUUACUCGCAGAAUAAGCCCCGGCUAACUCUGUGCCAGCAGCCGCGGUAAUACAGAGGGUGCGAGCGUUAAUCGGAUUUACUGGGCGUAAAGCGCGCGUAGGUGGCUAAUUAAGUCAAAUGUGAAAUCCCCGAGCUUAACUUGGGAAUUGCAUUCGAUACUGGUUAGCUAGAGUAUGGGAGAGGAUGGUAGAAUUCCAGGUGUAGCGGUGAAAUGCGUAGAGAUCUGGAGGAAUACCGAUGGCGAAGGCAGCCAUCUGGCCUAAUACUGACACUGAGGUGCGAAAGCAUGGGGAGCAAACAGG
rnacentral:rRNA from 1 species